rnacentral:rRNA from 1 species
UACGUAGGGUGCAAGCGUUAAUCGGAAUUACUGGGCGUAAAGCGUGCGCAGGCGGUCGCGUAAGCCAGAUGUGAAAUCCCCGGGCUUAAACUGGGAACUGCAGUUGGUACUGCGUGGCUGGAGUGCGGCAGAGGAAGGUGGAAUUCCUGGUGUAGCAGUGAAAUGCGUAGAUAUCAGGAGGAACACCGAUGGCGAAGGCAGCCUUCUGGGCCAGCACUGACGCUCAUGCACGAAAGCGUGGGGAGCAAACAGG